AACUCAGCAGGAUAGGGAAUCUCUGGAGAGAAGGAAUAGGUGACACUUUGGGUUGAGACUUUUCUUUGG